rnacentral:rRNA from 1 species
AUUGAACGCUGGCGGCAGGCCUAACACAUGCAAGUCGAACGAGUGGCGGACGGGUGAGUAAUGUCUGGGAAACUGCCCGAUGGAGGGGGCUAACUACUGGAAACGGCAGAUAAUACCGCAUACCAUCUGAUGUGCCCAGAUGGGUUUAGCUUGUAGGUGAGGUAACGGCUCACCUAGGCGACGAUCCCUAGCUGGUCUGAAAGGAUGACCAGCCACACGGGAACUGAGACACGGUCCAGACUCCUACGGUAGGCAGCAGUGGGGAAUAUUGCACAAUGGGCGAAAGCCUGAUGCAGCCAUGCCGCGUGUAUGAAGAAGGCCUUCGGGUUGUAAAGUACUUUCAGCGGGUAGGCGUUACCCGCAGAAGAAGCACCGGCUAACUCCGUGCCAGCAGCCGCGGUAAUAC